CCUGGCGACCAUAGCGCGUUGGCCCCACCCCUUCCCAUCCCGAACAGGUCCGUGAAACGACGCCGCGCCGAUGAUAUUGCGGAUUGCCCGUGAGAAAGUAGGUCAUCGCCAGGG
rfam:Betaproteobacteria bacterium GR16-43, complete genome.